UAACCGCUGAAAGCAUCUAAGCGGGAAACUCGCCUCAAGAUGAGACUUCCCGGGGGCUUACCCCCCUAAAGGUUCGUCGAAGACUACGACGUUGAUAGGUCGGGUGUGGAAGCGCAGCAAUGUGUUAAGCUAACCGAUACUAAUUGACCGUGUGGCUUGAUUCUAUAACUUUA
rnacentral:rRNA from 1 species